rnacentral:rRNA from 1 species
UACGGAGGGUGCAAGCGUUGUCCGGAUUUAUUGGGUUUAAAGGGUGCGUAGGCGGCCCUGUAAGUCAGUGGUGAAAAUACUGCAGCUUAACUGUAGCAUUGCCAUUGAUACUGUAGGGCUUGAGUACAGAUGAGGUAGGCGGAAUUGAUGGUGUAGCGGUGAAAUGCAUAGAUACCAUCAAGAACACCGAUUGCGAAGGCAGCUUACUAAGCUGUAACUGACGCUGAGGCACGAAAGCGUGGGGAUCGAACAGG